rnacentral:rRNA from 1 species
ACAGAUUACUUCGGUUUGAAGUCUUUUAUGACUGAGUGGCGGACGGGUGAGUAACGCGUGGGUAACCUGCCUCAUACAGGGGGAUAGCAGCUGGAAACGGCUGCUAAUACCGCAUAAGCGCACGGUAUCGCAUGAUACAGUGUGAAAAACUCCGGUGGUAUAAGAUGGACCCGCGUCUGAUUAGGUAGUUGGUGGGGUAACGGCCUACCAAGCCGACGAUCAGUAGCCGACCUGAGAGGGUGACCGGCCACAUUGGGACUGAGACACGGCCCAAACUCC